rnacentral:rRNA from 1 species
CCUACGGGAGGCAGCAGGGGGGAAUAUUGCACAAUGGGGGAAACCCUGAUGCAGCGACGCCGCGUGAGGGAAGAAGGGGUGCGGCGCGGAAAGCUCUGUCAGCGGGGAAGAAAAACGGUGCGCGAGAGCCGCGGACGGUAUCCGACCAAGAAGCCCCGGCUAACUACGUGCCAGCAGCCGCGGGAAUACGUAGGGGGCAAGCGUUAUCCGGAUUCACGGGGUGUAAAGGGAGCGUAGGAGGCGAGACAAGUCUGGAGUGAAAGGCCGGGGCCCAACCCCGGGACUGCUCUGGAAACUGGCUGGCUGGAGUACAGGAGAGGUAAGUGGAAUUCCUGGUGUAGCGGUUAAAUUCGUAGAUCUUAGGAGGCACACCAGUGGCGAAGGCGGCUUACUGGACUGUAACUGACGUUGAGGCUCGAAAGCGUGGGGAGCAAACAGGAUUAGAUACCCUUGUAGUC